AAAAAGAGGGGUUAUGAAUUCCAAAGUUAGGAAUACAACAGCAGACAUGACAAUGUUGGAAACUGCAGUUUGGCAGCCAGCCAUGUAAUUUACUGCUGAGCGAGAGAAGGAACCUGCAAGAGGAAGUCAUUGAGCCAACAAUAUUCAUAGCUCCAAGCGCCACCAUCUCUUUGUUUCCGUCCAACUGGUAGUCCUUCAUUGAAGCAAAGGUUCUUCCAAUUGCAACAGCUUCCUAUGAAACAGAAGCACCACCCAUGAAGCCAACAACAGCAGCAUGAGAUAGGAAGUCAAUUAAGAAGCCCAAUCUGCCAAGAAAGCAAAGCAAGAAAUAAGCAAAAAAACAACUAAAUCCGAU